rnacentral:rRNA from 1 species
UCCCAGGACCCUGACACUGUUUCUUGGAGCCUUUCUCCUUCGGGUGAAUUCUCCGUUAGUUCGGCUUAUCAGGCAUUAUGUCGUAUGCCGGUUCUAUAGUGGCUAUCCCCAUUGUGGAAGGCACCGUUGCCCUUGAAUAUUAAGAUUUUUGUAUGGCAGCUCCUCCGUGACCGUCUGCCUUCGGGGACCGAGGUGUUGAAACGCCUUGGUCCGGGCAAUGGCCUUUGCCCUUUGUUCCAUGUCUCGGAAACGGGAACACACAUUUUGUUCUCUUGCGUAGCAGCACAUGCACUUUGGUGCUUUGUUCAUGAGGCUCUAGGGCCAGAGUGGGAGGCUCAUGACCUUGCAGAGUUUCUGUAGGUUAGGGCCACUCAGGUUGGCCGUAAGCGUCGACUGUUCUGGCUCAUCUUCGCGACUAUGAUGUGGACUCUCUGGACUACUCGCAACAAGAUGGUGAUUGAGCGGGUGUUCCCGCGAUGUGCUUCUGACUCGUUCUUCAAAUUUCUUGCCUUCUUGCAGCACUGGCACCCACUCGCUAGGCCGAGGGAUCGUGAUCGACUUCAGCUAUUCCUGGACGCCCUGGUGUCACCGCGCGUCGGCUCUCCGACCGCUUGCAUGUUCCGUAGCUUGCCCUGGAGGCCUUUUUGUUUCUUCUUCUUUCAUUUGGGCGUCUUUGUGCUGUGGCCCCAGCAUUUCUCUUUUAUGACUGUGCUUGAGAUGUGGUUGUAUGGACGUAUGCUUUAUCUAUAA